rnacentral:rRNA from 1 species
AUUGAACGCUGGCGGCAGGCCUAACACAUGCAAGUCGAGCGGAUGAAGGGAGCUUGCUCCUGGAUUCAGCGGCGGACGGGUGAGUAAUGCCUAGGAAUCUGCCUGGUAGUGGGGGAUAACGUCCGGAAACGGGCGCUAAUACCGCAUACGUCCUGAGGGAGAAAGUGGGGGAUCUUCGGACCUCACGCUAUCAGAUGAGCCUAGGUCGGAUUAGCUAGUUGGUGGGGUAAAGGCCUACCAAGGCGACGAUCCGUAACUGGUCUGAGAGGAUGAUCAGUCACACUGGAACUGGGACACGGUCCAGCCUCCUACGGGAGGCAGCAGUGGGAAAUUUUGGACAAUGGGCGAAAGCCUGAUCCAGCCAGGCCGCGUGUGUGAAGAAGGUCUUCGGAUUGUAAAGCACUUUAAGUUGGGAGGAAGGGCAGUAAGUUAAUACCUUGCUGUUUGGACGUUACCAACAGAAUAAGCACCGGCUACUUCGUG